rnacentral:rRNA from 1 species
UAGGGAAUAUUGGACAAUGGGGGCAACCCUGAUCCAGCCAUGCCGCGUGAGUGAAGAAGGCCCUCGGGUUGUAAAGCUCUUUUGUCCGGAAAGAAAAGCAUUCGGUGAAUACCCGGAUGUUCUGACGGUACCGGAAGAAUAAGCACCGGCUAACUUCGUGCCAGCAGCCGCGGUAAUACGAAGGGUGCAAGCGUUACUCGGAAUUACUGGGCGUAAAGCGUGCGUAGGUGGUUGUUUAAGUCUGAUGUGAAAGCCCUGGGCUCAAACUGGGAAUGGCAUUGGAAACUGGGCAGCUAGAGUGCGGUAGAGGGUAGUGGAAUUCCCGGUGUAGCAGUGAAAUGCGUAGAGAUCGGGAGGAACAUCUGUGGCGAAGGCGACUGCCUGGACCAGCACUGACACUGAGGCACGAAAGCGUGGGGAGCAAACA